rnacentral:rRNA from 1 species
GAUGAACGCUGGCGGCGUGCCUAAUACAUGCAAGUCGAGCGAACGGACGAGAAGCUUGCUUCUCUGAUGUUAGCGGCGGACGGGUGAGUAACACGUGGAUAACCUACCUAUAAGACUGGGAUAACUUCGGGAAACCGGAGCUAAUACCGGAUAAUAUUUUGAACCGCAUGGUUCAAAAGUAAAAGACGGUCUUGCUGUCACUUAUAGAUGGAUCCGCGCUGCAUUAGCUAGUUGGUAAGGUAACGGCUUACCAAGGCAACGAUGCAUAGCCGACCUGAGAGGGUGAUCGGCCACACUGGAACUGAGACACGGUCCAGACUCCUACGGGAGGCAGCAGUAGGGAAUCUUCCGCAGUGGGCGAAAGCCUGACGGAGCAACGCCGCGUGAGUGAUGAAGGUCUUCGGAUCGUAAAACUCUGUUAUUAGGGAAGAACAUAUGUGUAAGUAACUGUGCACAUCUUGACGGUACCUAAUCAGAAAGCCACGGCUAACUACGU